CGUCUCGCUCGUUUUGCUCCGUCUCUCUUCCUCCUCACUUCCCACCCACCCUCGUUUUGCUCCGUCUCUCUUCCUCCUCACUUCCCACCCACCCUCGCUCGUUUUGUUCUGUCUCUCUUUCUCCUCACUCCCUCCGUCGAUCCUCUGCAGCUUGCAUCGGUCGACCAGUAGUCUUCCACUGUAAUCGCCUCUCAUUAUUCUUUCUGCCACGCUCCUCUUCGUCCUUACUCCCUCCGUCUUGUCUAUCUGUAGCCACUUCGUCUUCCUACGUUUUUGCCAGGAUUUGAGGCUGUCAUAGUAUGCUCUCUGACCGUGCUGGCGGGAGGAAGGAGAUGAUUUAAGUUCUCUGCGUUUAUAACCAGAAAGAGGAGGAUAAUCCAAUCAUGGUAACUAAAUAGUAGGUAGUAAUGUUUCACGGUAAAUCACAGUGCUCGAAUGCGAUAUGAUCUUUGACUCGGAGUAUUGAAGACUAAUUUAGUUUGAGUUUGAGAUUAGUUGUUUUUGUCAUUAAUAAACUCACAUUGGCAUCUGGUUACGAGCUCACUACUAGAUUUUAGAUCUCCAGUUUUGGUGUACUUUUGCUGCAUGUGUCUCCCAGAGUUGCAGAUUUGCAGGAUGGCUUGAUCUGGCAAGUGCUCGCCAUUCUAUGGGCCCAUCAUGCUUUUCGAGUACACUGUUUGAUCACAAGGAGCGGUCUGCUGCCACUAAACUUCAAGUUGUUGAUCAUGAUGGCCUGAAAAAUUAUCGGGGAUAUGCUCAUAUGCCUUGGCCUUAAUUUAAACUACUUGUAUGAGAUGGAGAAAUGUCACAAAACACAGGAUGAAGACGACUCCAGGAAUCCACCCAUGCCUCUCAGUGACUCAGUGGCACAAACGACAGCCUAGUCAGGACUAGGAGACGUCUUCACAUCACGGAGUAGACCACUCAGCAACAACAGUGCAACGGUGUUCGGACUUUUGUUCACAUAUGGGAGUGUUUAAGCUCCUGCACCUAGAUUUAGAAACACCACCAUGUAAAAUAGACAAGACAGUGCUUUUGCAAACAUGAUGCUACCACGAGACCCGAACUCAUGUAUGGCCAAACAUGUUAACAUAUUUUGUAUGUCACCAAAACGCUUAUUUACAUCAAUGAGCGAUUAUCUGAA